AAUGGGAAACACAACACCGCGGGGAGCCAAUGAGAACCCAGAAGGAGAAAUAAGAGACGGAGGAAAUUUCCCAAGGGUGCCUUCGGGCAUGCAUGGAGUGAAGAAGCGGAGGCGAGGAGUCUCAUACAGCGAGGCUACGACAGGGAUUGAAACUCCCCUCCCCUCCCCUCCCGCAACUGGAAGACGGGAUCGCAGCGCUUAGGAAGCUGACACUCACCUGAGAAACAGGCUCCAGGGUGGAACACCGAGCAGGGAAAAGAAGUGGAAAUGUAGAUCUCCUAUCACGUCCAGGUAUGGUCCGGGUAAAGAUGCAGCAACGACUAAGCAGGACACCGGAAAGUCAUGCACCAAGUCCGGGUCUCCAAACGGGAGCAAGAUGCAUUGGAAAAAAAGAUGAGCACAGGAUAACAUAGAGAACACCUAGCCUUCAAGGAAAGACCAAGACAAAAAUUCAGGAGAAGAGUUAUUCAAGUAACUGAAUAAGGAUGUGGCAACCAUCAACCCUCCUGGAGCAUGGUGCAUGUAUGAGGGCCACCCAGACCUUUGAUGUGUAUG